GACGUAGGGCGCGAGCGUUGUCCGGAUUUAUUGGGCGUAAAGAGCUCGUAGGCGGCUCGGUAAGUCAGGUGUGAAAACUCUAGGCUCAACCUAGAGACGCCACCUGAUACUGCCGUGGCUAGAGUCCGGUAGGGGAGCAUGAAAUUCCUGGUGUAGCGGUGAAAUGCGCAGAUAUCAGGAGGAACACCGGUGGCGAAGGCGGGUCUCUGGGCCGAUACUGACGCUGAGGAGCGAAAGCCAGGGGAGCGAACGGG
rnacentral:rRNA from 1 species